CAUCUGGCAUAUUACUGGAAAUGGCCAAAAAAGAAUCGGCACGUAAACCAGAAGGUUAGCAUAAUUUAGCCGCGUUGCCGACAGAAAAUCUAUAGUCAUUUGGGGUUUUGGCGGUGCCAAGCAGGCUCGCAUUGAUUAACGAUGUGUGUGUGUGUGUGUGUGUGUGUGUGUGUGUGUGUGUGUGUGUGUGUGUGUGUGUGUGUGUGUGUGUGUGUGUGUGUGUGUGUGUGUGUGUGUGUGUGUGUGUGUGUCUGUGUCUGUGUGCAUGUGUGUGUGUGUGUGUGUGUGUGUGUGUGUGUGUGGUUUUGGUAGAUUUACGGUAGACUCAGCGAUAGGGCAAAAAGAGAGAGAGGGCGAGAGACAUAGGAAGGCAGAGCAAAGAGAGAGAGGCUGAUUGAAAUGAGACCUUGAACUUACAGACAGCAGAGCAACAAACGGAGGAAAUGAACCGCAUGACAUGACAAACACACGGGGGGAGAGCACGAUAAGAAAACCAACGAAAACAACCUGGAAAGGGUUAAGUGACCAACAGACUGGCACAGCACCGAGACAUGGCAUGGCACAGUCUAAAUAGGGGGGCGGGAUAGCUCCAGAGAGAGGGCGAGAGAGAGCGCCAGAGAGAGGGCGAGAGAGGGCGAGAGAGAGAGGGCGAGAGAGGGCAAGAGAGAGCGCCAGAGCGAGGGCGAGAGAGAGCGCCAGAGAGAGGGCGAGAGUGGGCAAGAGAGAGCGCCAGAGCGAGGGCGAGAGAGGGCAAGAGAGAGCGCCAGAGCGAGGGCGAGAGAGGGCGAGAGAGAGCGCCAGAGCGAGGGCGAGAGAGAGCGCCAGAGAGAGGGCGAGAGAGGGCAAGAGAGAGCACGAGGGCGAGGGCGAGAGAGAGCGCCAGAGAGAGGGCGAGAGAGGGCAAGAGAGAGCGCCAGAGCGAGGGCGAGAGAGGGCGAGAGAGAGAGGGCGAGAGUGGGCAAGAGAGAGCGCCAGAGAGGGGGCGAGAGAGGGCAAGAGAGAGCGCCAGAGAGGGGGCGAGAGAGGGCAAGAGAGAGCGCCAGAGAGGGGGCAAGAGAGGGCAAGAGAGAGCGCCAGAGAGGGGGCGAGAGAGGGCGAGAGAGAGCGCCAGAGCGAGGACGAGAGAGGGCGAGAGAGAGAGCGAGCGAGCCGGAGCAUCAUGAAGGGUUACAGAAGACACACAGACACACCCCAGAGGGAGCCCCGAAGCAUCAGCUACCGCCCGGUAGAGGGGAACAGCAAUCAGGCGCACCUGGCCGCUAUCAGGGCUCGUUACUGCCCUGCUGAACCAGCUGCUGCAACAGACUGA
rnacentral:lncRNA from 1 species